ACUUACAAAACAGCAUGUGCACUUCAUAUGCAUGGGAAAGACUUCAGGCAAAUUACUGAGGCUCAAAAGGAAACUGAUAGGGACUUGUUGAAGUUUCUGAAACAGCACAAAGAGUAAUCCAUCGAGCUACAUUUGCAAUUCCAAAGAAGAAGAGAGCAACAUUCCUUUCAAGCUGGCAUUCCCUUUAAAAUACUCUUAUGAGUAAUUACCCAAACAUAGCUGGGAUCUUAAAAGACUUCAAAUUCAACAGUACUUCAUAGCCAAUCCCUCUGUCCAAACAUAGCUGGGAUACUACUCCAUUAGUUAGUUAUACCUGAAUGGCUAUUCAAAGCUAGACACAGAUCGGGGGUUUAACUUGCCACACACAGUUGGCA